GACGAACGCUGGCGGCGUGCCUAACACAUGCAAGUCGAGCGAUGAAAUCCUUUCGGGGAUGGAUUAGCGGCGGACGGGUGAGUAACACGUGGGUAACCUGCCUCAUAGUGGGGGAUAGCCUUCCGAAAGGGAGAUUAAUACCGCAUAAGAAGCAGAAAUCGCAUGAUUUCAGCUUUAAAGGAGUAAUCCGCUAUGAGAUGGACCCGCGGCGCAUUAGCUAGUUGGUAAGGUAAUGGCUUACCAAGGCGACGAUGCGUAGCCGACCUGAGAGGGUGAUCGGCCACAUUGGAACUGAGAUACGGUCCAGACUCCUACGGGAGGCAG
rnacentral:rRNA from 1 species